rnacentral:rRNA from 1 species
GACGAACGCUGGCGGCGUGCUUAACACAUGCAAGUCGAACGGAAAGGCCCUGCUUUUGUGGGGUGCUCGAGUGGCGAACGGGUGAGUAACACGUGAGUAACCUGCCCUUGACUUUGGGAUAACUUCAGGAAACUGGGGCUAAUACCGGAUAGGAGCUCCUGCUGCAUGGUGGGGGUUUGAAAGUUUCGGCGGUUUGGGAUGGACUCGCGGCUUAUCAGCUUGUUGGUGGGGUAGUGGCUUACCAAGGCUUUGACGGGUAGCCGGCCUGAGAGGGUGACCGGCCACAUUGGGACUGAGAUACGGCCCAGACUCCUACGGGAGGCAGCAGUGGGGAAUAUUGCACAAUGGGCGGAAGCCUGAUGCAGCAACGCCGCGUGCGGGAUGACGGCCUUCGGGUUGUAAACCGCUUUCGCCUGUGACGAAGCGUGAGUGACGGUAAUGGGUAAAGAAGCACCGGCUAACUACGUG